AUUGAACGCUGGCGGUAUGCUUAACACAUGCAAGUCGAACGAUGAGAAAGAGCUUGCUCUUUCGAUUAGUGGCGGACGGGUGCGUAACGCGUAGGAAUCUACCUAUUAGUGGGGGACAACUUAGGGAAACUUAAGCUAAUACCGCAUACGCCCUACGGGGGAAAGAAGGGGAUCGCAAGACCUUUUGCUAAUAGAUGAGCCUGCGUAGGAUUAGCUAGUUGGUGGGGUAAAAGCUCACCAAGGCGACGAUCCUUAGCUGGUUUGAGAGAAUGGUCAUGCACACUGGAACUGAGACACGGUCCAGACUCCUACGGGAGGCAGCAGUGGGGAAUAUUGGACAAUGGGCGAAAGCCUGAUCCAGCAAUACCGCGUGUGUGAAGAAGGCCUUAGGGUUGUAAAGCACUUUCAAUUGGAAGGAAAACCUCGAAGCUAAUACCUUCGAGUUUGACAUUACCUUUAGAAGAAGCACCGGCUAACUCCGUGCCAGCCGCCGCAGUAACAC
rnacentral:rRNA from 1 species